AUUGAACGCUGGCGGCAGGCCUAACACAUGCAAGUCGAACGCGUGGCGGACGGGUGAGUAAUGUCUGGGAACCUGCCUGAUGGAGGGGGAUAACUACUGGAAACGGUAGCUAAUACCGCAUACCAUCAGAUGUGCCCAGAUGGGUUUAGCUUGUUGGUAGGGUACUGGCUCACCAAGGCGACGAUCCCUAUCUGGUCUGAGAGGUAUCCCAGCCACACGUGAACUGAGACACGGUCCAGACUCCUACGGGAGGCAGCAGUGGGGAAUAUUGCACAAUGGGCGCAAGCCUGAUGCAGCCAUGCCGCGUGUAUGAAGAAGGCCUUCGGGUUGUAAAGUACUUUCAGCGGGGAGGCGUUACCCGCAGAAGAAGCACCGGCUAACUCCGUGCCAGCAGCCGCGGUAAUAC
rnacentral:rRNA from 1 species